rnacentral:rRNA from 1 species
UACGGGGGGAGCAAGCGUUGUUCGGAUUUACUGGGCGUAAAGGGCGCGUAGGCGGGCGCGACAAGUCACUUGUGAAAUCUCUGGGCUCAACCCAGAACGGUCAAGUGAUACUGUCGUGCUAGAGUGCGGAAGGGGCAACUGGAAUUCUUGGUGUAGCGGUGAAAUGCGUAGAUAUCAAGAGGAACACCGGUGGCGAAGGCGGGACUCUGGGCCGAUAACUGACGCUGGAGGAGCGAAAGCGUGGGGAGCAAACAGG